rnacentral:rRNA from 1 species
UACGUAAGGGGCAAGCGUUGUCCGGAAUCACUGGGCGUAAAGCGCACGUAGGCGGAUUUGUCAGUCAGGGGUGAAAUCCCGGGGCUCAACCUCGGAACUGCCUUUGAUACAGCACGUCUCGAGUCCGGAAGAGGUGGGUGGAAUUCCUAGUGUAGAGGUGAAAUUCGUAGAUAUUAGGAAGAACACCGGUGGCGAAGGCGGCCCACUGGUCCGGUACUGACGCUGAGGUGCGAAAGCGUGGGGAGCAAACAGG